rnacentral:misc_RNA from 1 species
AAAAAAAAAAAAAAAAAAGAGUGAUAUUGGUAAUGGUCGUUAGGUAACAGUAACAGCUGUACUUGGCUGUUAAGUAACAGGUAAUGGCCGUUACUCACGUCAGCACAAAGUCCUUAUUUUGGUGCAGAGAGCUUGUUUCUUUUUGGUUUCUACGCUUCCCCUCGUGGUUCUCUCAAAUUUUCCAUCUUUUACUAAUUUUUCAUUUCUUGUGCUAGGAUUAUCAAUUAUUGAACGUUUAUUUGAAGUGAAUGGGAGCAAUUAAUCAGACUUUUACAUUCAUAUCGUACAACUGAAGUAAAGAAUAUUGGUUGACACAUUGGAAAUCCAGCCGAAUUUCUUUUGGAAUUUGACAAUAGUAACCUUAUUUAAAUACAAAGUUGAAUGUUUUUGAGUCUCAAAUUGAAGUGACUGUUGAAAUUUAGUGUAAGCAUAAUGAUCAUCUAUUAAAUUAAGCCAAAUAGUUAACAUCCCUUUCUAAGAUGUAGUGAAUGCAAAUGUUAGUUGCAACUUUAAGCAGGUUAAUAUAUUGACGGUGAAGUUGGUUGUUUUAAGGUUACAGAUGGAGAGACAAAGUUAACAUGUCUGUUAUUCUCAUGGCAGGGGGAAUUCUUUGAGGGACCCAGCUUCCAAUGCUUAUGCACAG